rnacentral:lncRNA from 1 species
GAUUGAUAGCAAAUCGGCAUUCAUUCAUUCAUUGGCUCUCGAAUAUUUGAAAAAAGAAUGGUUAUCCUGAAGACCCAGCCUACACUCCUGGACAAUAGGAGGUUGGGAGCAGUGAUGACCCAGUUCAAGAUGAAAUUGAAUCAAUCCCACUUCGCUGUCCCAGAUAUUGUUGGAGUUUUGUUUUCCCCUCACCCUGAGUUGGGAAAGUUGCCUGAAUGAUUUGUGCCUGAGCGCUCUUAUCUAGAGUGGAACGUAAAGUCGUGAUCAUUUUCACUGGGAAAAUAGGUGAUUUGUCUGGAGGAAAGUAUCCCAAGUUCCAGACUCGAAUGCUAUGUGCCCUUUUAUGUUAACUUCUUCACCAUGGGGGAACCCCCAGGAAUAAAAAGUCUCCCAUUCCUCUCCUUCAAAACACCUCCUGAAACCUCACUCUUUUCAAAGAC